GAACCCAAGUCCUCUGAUUCUCAAGCCCGUGCUCUUUCCAAUGAGCCACGCUGCUUCUUAUUUGAUUACCAUUAUCCCUGAAGAAUAAAGAUCCGUAAGGAAAAGGGGUUUUAUCGGUUUGCUUUCUAAACCAGAACUUGAUUUGCACACCCUUAAGAAAAAUUGAUCCAUUUCUUAGGACCGUGACUCUACCGAGCUACCGAGACAACGUCCUAUGUAGAAAAUCAAUUUUUCCCGUCUCGGGCUGGUGUGCCUAUUUAAUUAACUUAGGAGCUUAAUGGAGACAAACAUGAUUAAAACACGGUUUGAGAAGGUUUUCAAAACAGUCAUUUAUUACAUAUAAUAAUGUUUCAUCAGGGAUCUCCCCGUGGUAAUUAUGGUUUGCUGAGGUUUAGUUUCGCACUGCUGUUGGAUUGAACCUCCAAGGUGAUUAGUGCGGCGAUCCUAUCAUCAGCUUCUAACUACGAGGCCUACCCGCUACCACAUGCUACCAUAGUCCUACCGUGCCCAAACAGCACGGGCACCACUGCCUAGUUACCGCCUUCAUGAGGGACCCUGGAAAAACCUCAGUCAGCGUUCAGGGAAUGACAACAGACCACGCUCAAAAACGAAAGAUGGCGAAAACAUUGAUAUAGCCCGCACAGAUGAAGAAGUACAGAAUAUUGAAACGUGACACCAGAAGCACUCGACAGUAGAGUGCAUAAUAGCGAUGAUCUAGAGUGCUUGUCAUUAUUCCUGGAAUUGGUAAAAAAAAAAUAAAAUGCCUUUUGCUAGA